rnacentral:rRNA from 1 species
AUUGAACGCUGGCGGCAGGCUUAACACAUGCAAGUCGAGCGGGGUGAUGGUGCUUGCACUAUCACUUAGCGGCGGACGGGUGAGUAAUGCUUAGGAAUCUGCCUAUUAGUGGGGGACAACAUCUCGAAAGGGAUGCUAAUACCGCAUACGUCCUACGGGAGAAAGCAGGGGAUCACUUGUGACCUUGCGCUAAUAGAUGAGCCUAAGUCGGAUUAGCUAGUUGGUGGGGUAAAGGCCUACCAAGGCGACGAUCUGUAGCGGGUCUGAGAGGAUGAGCCGCCACACUGGGACUGAGACACGGCCCGGACUCCUACGGGAGGCAGCAGUGGGGAAUAUUGGACAAUGGGGGGAACCCUGAUCCAGCCAUGCCGCGUGUGUGAAGAAGGCCUUAUGGUUGUAAAGCACUUUAAGCGAGGAGGAGGCUCUUUUGGUUAAUACCCAGGAUGAGUGGACGUUACUCGCAGAAUAAGCACCGGCUAACUCUGUGCCAGCCGCCGCCGUAAAAC